rnacentral:lncRNA from 1 species
AUUUGUGUAUAAUCAAUGUGUUAAUCUUGAGUGAUGGUGCGACAUCUUAAAAAAUUAUGAGAGUAAAAAUAUUUCAAAAGCUAUUUUAUAAAAUAAGGAAGCAAAACAUGGUUUUAGAAGUAAAGAAAUUAAAUGUUGAUUAAAGCUAAAAUAUGUACAACAAAAAUACAUUAAAGCCUUUAUAAUAUUUUAAAAUUAAAUUAACUUUUUUUCAAGAAAAGAGUUUUAAAAAAAUUAAUUAAUCAAUAGACAAUAAUUUUAAAAUUAAUUAAUUAAAAGACAACAAAUAAAAAAUAAACAAUUUUAAAAAACAAAUAAUUAUAAAAAAAAUAACCGUCGAUAAAUAAAUAAAUAAAAGUUAGGCCCACCAGAAUAUUUGAUAUUUUGAGCUUAUUAGAAUGGAGUUUUGGAC